UGGGGGAAUUUUGGACAAUGGGCGAAAGCCUGAUCCAGCAAUGCCGCGUGUGUGAAGAAGGCCUUCGGGUUGUAAAGCACUUUUUGUCCGGAAAGAAAUCCUUGGCUCUAAUACAGUCGGGGGAUGACGGUACCGGAAGAAUAAGCACCGGCUAACUACGUGCCAGCAGCCGCGGUAAUACGUAGGGUGCAAGCGUUAAUCGGAAUUACUGGGCGUAAAGCGUGCGCAGGCGGUUUGCUAAGACCGAUGUGAAAUCCCCGGGCUCAACCUGGGAACUGCAUUGGUGACUGGGCAGGCUAGAGUAUGGCAGAGGGGGGUAGAAUUCCACGUGUAGCAGUGAAAUGCGUAGAGAUGUGGAGGAAUACCGAUGGCGAAGGCAGCCCCCUGGGGCCAAAUACUGACGCUCAUGCACGAAAGCGUGGGGAGCAAACAGGAUUAGAUACCCUGGUAGUCCACGCCCUAAACGAUGUCAACUAGUUGUGGGGAUUCAUUUCCUUAGUAACGUAGCUAACGCGUGAAGUUGACCGCCUGGGGAGUACGGUCGCAAGAUUAAAACUUAAAUGAAUUGACGGGGUCAUAGCUGUUUCCU
rnacentral:rRNA from 1 species